rnacentral:rRNA from 1 species
GUAGGUGGCAAGCGUUGUCCGGAAUUAUUGGGCGUAAAGCGCGCGCAGGCGGUUCUUUAAGUCUGAUGUGAAAGCCCACGGCUCAACCGUGGAGGGUCAUUGGAAACUGGAGAACUUGAGUACAGAAGAGGAAAGCGGAAUUCCACGUGUAGCGGUGAAAUGCGUAGAGAUGUGGAGGAACACCAGUGGCGAAGGCGGCUUUUCUGGUCUGUAACUGACGCUGAGGCGCGAAAGCGUGGGGAGCAAACAGGGAUUAGAUACCCUGGUAGUCCACGCCGUAAACGAUGAGUGCUAAGUGUUAGGGGGUUUCCGCCCCCUUAGUGCUGCAGCUAACGCAUUAAGCACUCCGCCUGGGGAGUACGGCCGCAAGGCUG